UAGCUUUUUUGAUUUCAACUUGGUUAGAUUUUAGUUCUUUUAUUUCUCCAGAAAGGGCUUUUAUAUCUCUCGAGAGGGUUUCUCUAAUAUCUUCCAUGCCUUUUUCGAGCCCGGCUAGAACCUUGAGAAUUGUCAUUCUGAACUCUAGAUCUGACAUAUUACCAAUGUCUGUAUUGAUUAGGUCCCUAGCCUUCGGUAUUGCCUCUGGUUCUUUUUUUUGUGUUGAAUUUUUCCGUCUUGUCAUUUUGUCCAGAUAAGAGUAUAUGAAGGAGCAAGGAAAAUACUAAAAGGGUGGCAACAACACCAGGAAAAUAUGCUUUAACCAAAUUAGAAGAGAUCCCAAAUCGUGAGGUGGGAGAAAGGGGAAAAAAAGAGGUUAAAAAAGGAAGAAAGAAAAAAAAAGAAAAAAGAAAAAAAAAGAAAAGAAAAGAAUUUAAAAAAAAAAGAAAACAAAUGAGAAAAAUAUAAAAAAGAAAAAUAUAUAUAUUAGAUAAACUAGUUAAAAAACGUUAAAAAAGAAAAAAGUAAAAAUUAAAAAAAAAUUUAACCAGAAGGCCAGAAAAAAAACAAAAAAUGAAAAAGAAAUUAAAUUAACUGCAAGACUAAAAGAAAUCACAGGGAAAAAGCCAUGAGUUCCGUGCUUGGCUUUCUCCUCCUCUGGAAUUCUGCUGCUCUCCUUGGUGUUGAAACUGCACUCCUUGUUAGGUGAACUUGGUCUUGGCUGGAUUUCUUGUUGAUCUUCUGGGGGAGGGGCCUGUUGUAGUGAUUCUCAAGUGUCUUUGCCCCAGGCGGAAUUGCACCGCCCUUACCAGGGGCCAGGGUGAGUAAUCCGCUCGGGUUUGCUUUCAGGAGCUUUUGUUCCCUGAGCGCUUUCCGUAGAGUUCUGGAGGACGGGAAUACAAAUGGCGGCCUCCUGGUCUCCGGCCCAGAGGAGCCGAGAGCCCAGGGCCCCACUCCUCAGUGUGCCCUCAGAGAACAGCGCCCAGUUACUCCCGUCUGCCUGACCUCCGGCCGCGCUCCGAGCUCACCGAGCCUGCGACCCAUUCAAGGUAACACCGAGCUGUGAGCUCACUGUCGGCUCUGUCUCUGUAGCCGGCUUUCCCGUUCCAAUACCCGCAAGCUCUGCGACACUCAGACACCCCCGAUCCUUCUGUGACCCUGCGAGACCUGAGGCCACACUGACCCCGCGUGGGCUUCACCCCGGGUAGCCUCUGGAGCGAUGUCCCUCAGCGGAACAGACUUUUAAAAGUCCUGGUUUUGUGCUCCGUUGCUCCACUGCUUGCCGGGAGCCGGCCCCUCCCCCCGGGGUCUAUCUCCCUGUCGCUUUGGAUUCACUUCUCCGCCGGUCCUGCCUUUCAGAAAGUGGUUGUUUUUCUGUUUCCAGAAUUGCUGUUCUUCUUCUCUUCGAUCUGCCGAUGGAUUUGCAGGUGUUUGCAAUCUUUAGAUAAGCUAUCUAGCUGAUCUCUGGCUAGCUGAAGUAGUCUCAGCCUGCUACUUCUCUGCCAUCUUGACUCCUCCCUCUAUUGCACUCUGUCCUGGAAGUUUUUAAUCUCUCCUUUUAUUUUCAAUUAUAGCCUAGUUGGAUAUAGUAUUCUUGGCUGCAUGUUUUUCUUGUUUAGUGCUCUGAAUAGAUCAUGCCAGCUCUUUCUGGCCUACCAGGUCUCUGUGGAUAAGUCUGCUGCCAAUCUAAUAUUUUUACCAUUGUAUGUUACAGACUUCUUUUCCCGGGCUGCUUUCAGGAUUUUCUUUGUCACUAAGACUUGUAAAUUUUACUAUUAGGUGACGGGGUGUGAACCUAUUCUUAUUGAUUUUGAGGGGGGGUUCUCUGCACCUCUUGGAUUUUGAUGCUUGCUCCCUUUGCCAUAUUGGGAAGAUUCUUUCCAAUAAUUCUCUCCAAUAUACCUUCUGCUCCCCUCUCUCUUUCUUCUUCUUCUGGAAUCCCAAUUAUUCUAAUGUUGUUUCAUCUUAUGGUGUCACUUAUCUCUCAAAUUCUCCCCUCAUGGUCCAGUAGCUGUUUGUCCCUCUUUUGCUCAGCUUCUUUAUUCUCUGUCAUUUGGUCUUCUAUAUCGCUAAUUCUUUCUUCUGUCUCAUUUAUCCUAGCAGUGAGAGCCUCCAUUUUUUAUUGCACCUGAUUAAUAGCUUUUUUGAUUUCAACUUGGUUAGAUUUUAGUUCUUUUAUUUCUCCAGAAAGGGCUUUAAUAUAUUCCAUGCCUUUUUCAAGCCCAGCUAGAACCUUGAAAAUCGUCAUUCUGAGCUCUAGAUCUGACAUAUUACCAAUGUCUGUAUUGAUUAAGUCCCUAAACUUCGGUACUGCCUCUUGUUCUUUUUUUUGUGUUGAAUUUUUCUGUCUUGUCAUUUUGUCCAGAUAAGAGUAUAUGAAGGAGAAGUAAAAUACUAAAAGGGUGGCAACAACCCCAGGAAAAUAUGCUUUAACCAAAUCAGAAGAGUUCCCAUAUCGUGAGGGGGGAGAAAGGGGAUAAAGAGAGGUUCAGAAAGAAAAAAAAAAAGAAACAAUUAAAAAAUGAAAAUGAAUAAAGAAAAAAUAUGAAAAAGAAAAAAAUAUAUAUAUAUUAGAUAAACUAGUUAAAAAAACGUUAAAAAAAGAAAAGGGUAAAAGUUAAAAAAAAUUAGCAGAAGAAGAGAAAAAAAAAUUGAAAAAUAAAAUAAAAUAAAUUAACUGCAAGACUAAGAAUCCUGGGGAGAAAGCCAUGAGUUCCGUGCUUUGCUUUCUCCUCCUCUGGAAUUCUGCUGCUCUCCUUAGUAUUGAAACUGCACUCCUUGGUAGGUGAACUUGGUUCUGACUGGAUUUCUUGUUGAUCUUCUGGGGGAGGGGCCUGUUGUAGUGAUUCUCAAGUGUCUUUGCCCCAGGCAGAAUUGCACUACCCUUACCGGGGGCAGGGCUGAGUAAUCUGCUCAGGUUUGCUUUCACAAGCUUUUGUUCCCUGAGAGCUUUCCUUAGAGUUCUGGAGGACUGGAAUGAAAAUGGCGCCCUCCCGGUCUCCAGCCCAGAGGAGCCAAGAGCUCAGGGCCCCACUCCUCAGUGCGCCCUCAGAGAACAGCGCCCAUUUACUCCCGUCUCCCUGGACUCCGGCUGCGCCUGAGCUCACCAAGCCUGGGACCAGUUCAAGGUUUGAUAUAGUCCUUUUGGCAAACCAUGGUUCUGAUGCUCUAGGGGAGAUGGACAGAGAGAACAAGCAGGGUGAUCAGCCAGCAGAGGGAGAGGGAGAAGCAGGCCCUCCACUGAGCAGGGAGCCCGGUGUAGGCCUCAAUUCCAGGACCUUGAGAUCAUGACCUGAGCUGAAGACAGACACUUAACCGACUGAACCAUCCAGUUAAGACUGGUGCUUAGAUAUUGAUGAAAGUCAGAAAAUCUUUAUAGAUUGUGUCCGUUGCUAUCAUAAGUGUUUUUAUUUGUCUUGUCCAGUAUUUUUACUCUGAAUUCUACUUGCCUGAUAUAGUAAUGGUGGCCACUGGUUUUUUGUUAUUGUUGUUUUUUAUUUUGUUUUCAUUUCCUAAGAUACUUUUUCCUAUUUUUUACCAUCUGCUUUUCUUAGUCACUUUGUUUUAGGUGUGUCCUCGAUUUAUGCUUUGUGAACUUGAUGAUGACCUUUUAAUUUGGGAAGUUUGCCUUUCUGUUUUUAGAACAUUUAGUAGUUACUUCUGUAAGUAUAGCUGAAUAUAACAUAUCUAAUAUGUUAUUUAUUUUGAUAGUAUCAAUUGACUCUCCACUGUGAGGCCAUAAGAAAUUAACAUAUCCUACCUAAUUCCUUUUAGAUCUUCUUUUCUUUCUUCUCAUUGUUACCAAUACAAUAGUUGAUGUUAUUUUCUUGGUUCUUGAAUAGUAUUUAGCUUUAUGACAUGAAAAAGACACACCUUAGUUACCUGAUUUGUUAGCUCUUAAAUUAAUGGAUUGAGUCCUGGCUAUAAAAUGAAUUAUACACCGUCCUAGCCUUCCCCUAACUUCUUUAAAUUAUGUUCUUGUUGCACAUAUGUGUAUUUCCAUUCUUUUGGUUUUAGGAUUAAUCUUUAAGAGAUAUUCAAAUGGCAAAACUGUCUAUAUAUCACAUCCUCAAAAGUGGAAAUCCAAAAAUAAUUUCAUGUCUCUAAAAGCAAAUACAUUUUAAAAGGUAUGAAUAUUUUCCUAUAGUCACCAAAGAGUUAACCAAGGAUUUUAAGAAGGAAUUUAGACAGAGUAAGUCCUGUACAGCACAGAAAAGAAUAAAUUGAAUGCUAUAAAAGUGGUAUAAAAUAACUCAAUUCUUACAGAAUAUCAAUUGUGCAGAAAUUUAAAUUGUGUCAUUAAAGUAGUUAUUAUGUAUAUAAUAAUGUUGCAUGAAAAUAUUGCAAGGCAAAAAUAAUAUUUGUGAAGUGGAAUAAGAAUGGUUUGUUUCAGCUUCACCUGCGUAGUGCCUAAUAUAAACACAUUUCUGUUUGCUCACUAGAAAGAAUUAGUUGAAUACACAUUCUCUGGACAGUUUGACAUACAGUCAAGAGGUACAGUCUGUACUACUUGUCUAACUAUACAAACUUUUCAACUUGAGUUAAGUAGAAGAGGCAGUUUCUAAUGGGUUUGUCUUUUGCAUGAGAACUUCUUUAUGUCUCAUAUAACCCCAGGAGAAAGUACCAUUGGGGUUACUGGGAUUGGAAUUAGGACCACCAGAAUUGGAUGUGAGUUUUAUUUGCUGUGUCAGGGAAAACUCAAUGUCUGUUAGGUGACUGUGGCUAUCACAGAAGGAAUUCAGAGUCAGUUGCUUAAGAAGUCACAUAUGGGCAGUCCCAGGAUGGACUUUGAUAUACAUUUAACCAAUUCUGGCUGCUUAUUGGUGCCCCCUGGAGGACCUAAGGCUCAUAGGCAAGGUUAUCGUCCACCUCUCUGAAAAGGCACAUCACAAGCGUAUCUUUACUUCACUGUCUAGUAUUCAUUCAUGCAUGUAUGACCAUAAAUAAAGUUUCCAUAUUAUGAAGUAGACAUGCCACAUCCCACUGGCUCUCCAACACUGACCCAAAAGAAUUCUAGAUGUUUCAUUGCAUAGAGUCAACAUGCUCAUAACCAGAGAGAUAGACACAGUUGUGAUAACCUGCCCAGCUGGUCACAAGCUUCAGCUACCUUGUUUGAAAUGUUAUCAAUACUAAUAUUUACCAAAUCACCAUCCUAAGAAAGCCAGCUCCCUCCUACAUGCUCACUGAACUCAGUGCUUCCAAUGCAGAAAUGGCUUUCAAUCAAUAUAUCCAUUGUGUUAGAGUUCCUGCAUCUUGGCCCUCUGCCAAGGCUAUGCCCAAGACAUUAGUCCUGUGUUGCCUCAGUGAAUUCAACCUUUCUUAUAGGAUGCAGGUAUUUAAUCACUCAUGUCCGCACAAUACUACUGUGAGCCCUGGGAAGCAUUACCGCAUUUCUGUUUUUAUUUUGUCACUCACUCCCCUGACUGGUUUGUUUUUAGAGGUUUAACUGAGCCUUUAGCCUAAGGGCUGCUUCCUUAACACAUGUUAUACAAAAGCAUGUAGGAAUUUCACCAAGAGGCAAUAUAAUGAAUGUUGAAAACGGGACGAGUUUUAGGGUCAGAUGGACCUGCUGCAUUUCAGAUCUGGCUCUACCACUCAAUUACUGAGCAACCUAAGAAAGUUCACUUUUCAAAAUCUUAUUUUUGCAUCUGUAAGUGUACAUACUAGCCUCCAAAUUAAAUAACUAUUUUGAAAAUUAGAGAUAAAGUCAUCUAUCUAGGUUUUUAAAAAAUAACUAGGUCUUUUCUUUAUGAGUACAUAUGCAUUUAAAGCAAAAGACUCACACACACAAAAUUGUCACUUGUCUAUACUAUUAAAGGAAAAAAAAAAAGAAAAGGAAAAAUAGUUACUACCAUAAGAGGAUAAGGUACUCCUGGAAUUUUUCAUUCUAAUAUUUAAGUUAAUAUAUGUCAUAGGAAGCAUCUUUCACAAAUUUUGAAUGACAGAUGACUCAGUGUAACAGUCAUCUUCCAGUGUGAGGUCUGUGCUGAGUGCCAUGAGAAAUUCAAGAUGCAGCGGAAUGGUCUUGCCCUCAAUGGCCAUAUGUUCCAAUGUUGUGAGAGGACAGCACAAAGAAUGAAGACAUUAUAAAGAACAACAUCAGGAAAACUACCUGAGAGAAACUGGGAACACUUUGCAAUUUUAAUGAAAGAAUCUGCAUCUGGUUGGGGGGAAAAUUAGGAAGAGCUUCAGAAAGGAGGAGCUCUUUGAACUGCAACUAGCAAGAUGGGUAGGAAACCUCCAUGUGGGGAUAAAGAAACAAUAUACUGGGAGAGUAAAAUAAAAUAUAAAUGUAGCUGCCAGUUGUUGACAUUUUCCUAGGUGCCAGACGUUCUAAUAAAUAUUUUAAACAUUUAAUCCCUAAAGUGUUCCUGUGAAGUUAUUAUAUCCAUUUAUAAAAUAGAGAACCAGUACAUAGAGAGGGUAAGUUACUUAAGGUGAAACAACUAGUAAAUAAAUUUAAUCUUUCUUGUUGAAUUACAAUCUGUCUGAUUCUUAAGUCACUUUAGUAACAAUAUACCAGGUUGCCUGUAGGUAAGUUUGGUUUAUCUGUAGAAAUUAAGUGGUAGUUCACUUCCAAUUUAAGGCUGGAACUGAGUAGUAGGGUCGAAUAGAAGAAAGUUUUGGUUGAAAAAAUCAGAUUUAUUUUUUAAAUGAAGAGAAUUCUUGGGAGUAUAGUGAAACAAUUGAAAAUUUGCCUCUAAAGUUAAUGUGACUCUUGUUUAUUUUGGAAACUAUUGCAGUAUCUAAGUAAGAGAUAUUACAGUAACUAGCUUGGAAAUAAGAAAUAUUAUCUAAGAAUUACUGGGUUAUUUAAAAAACUACUGGAUUAAGUAACUAAUUGGCUAUUGUUUCACAAAGGAAAAAAAAAGAUAAAGUAGAGGUUGCUGUUGUAUAAUAAAGAACUUGAUUGGCAUUUAUCCCUAUUUUCUGGAAGGGAAAACUCUAAAUCCUUGGAAUUUCCCAAGUAAUAGGAGUAUCUCUGUGAUUGUAAGCCUCUGGGAUCACACUUGAAUUUAUGCUAAGAGAUGAGAUGAUUCAGCAUUUGGACGACUCACCAGAAAGAUCAACCAGGAACAGGGAAGAUAAUCAUAGAAGGGAGCAGUGGUAGAGAGUAUGUCUCUUGCUGCUGCACAGAACACACAUAGCAGGUGAUGAUACCAAACAGCUAACUCCCAGAGGGACCUGAAUGGCACGGCACAUGUGGAUUCAUCUACUAGACCAUGAAUACUUUGAAAGGAAAAUAUCAAUCUCCAACUUAUGUAUAGGACCUGAAAAAAUAUUUUGCACAUGGUGUUUGCUCAAUAAGUUUUUGUAUGGUAGGAAAGAGAGAGAGGAGAAAGGGAGAAAAAGAGGAAAGAAGGGAAUCCAGUUAUUGUCGCACGUAUUUUCCCUUAUCUGGAAUACUUUAUUUACCCCAACCAAUCCCAGCUAACUCCUUUAUCUAACUAACUCCUACUCCUUUAGGACUUAGUCAUCAAUAUCACUUUCUCUAGGUUCUUUGACCCUAAUUCAAGGUAGAAUUCUCUGCUGCAUGCACCUAUCUCACCCUGGUUACAUAAGGAUAAUCUGCAGUGUUUUAUGUAAAUCAUGUUAAAUGUAUGACUUCAUCAUUUAGUAAGCUUAUGUCACAUAUGAUAGUGACAUGUUAUUCUCUGGCAUAGUCAUAGGUCUUUAUUAAAUAUGCAUCAAAUGAAUGAUUUACUUAUUUAGAUCUCUUAGACAGAAGGGCCAUAUACGUGCAUCUUAUACAAAGAACACGUGAAGGACUAAAGAAAAGAACAGCAUGAUCUGUGUGUUCUACGAUAGUAGAGGAAGAGAGAGAAAAUUUCUGUCCGUGAUACAGAAAGAACCAGAAAGAAGGCAGCUACAAGGAUUCAAAUUUGGGGGCAAAAAAAGAGAAUAACCUCACCUGAAGUAGGUUUUAAAAAUUUUAUACAACUUGGGCAAUACUGUUUGCUUAUUUGUCUGCUUUUGUCACCAUACUGUAUGUUACAUCCCCAUGACUUAUUUAUUUCAUGAUGGGAAGUUUGUGCUUUUUGAUCACCUUCACCUACUUGCCCAAUCCCUGCUUCUGGCUAACACCAAUCUGUUUUCCAUACCUAUGAGCUUGGUUUUUGUUUUUGUUUAGAUUCCACAUAUAAGUGAGAGAAGAUGUUAUUUGUUUUUCUCUGACUAAUUUCAUUCAGCAAACUAUCCUCAAGUUUCAUCCGUGUAGUUGCAAAUGGCAAAAGUUCAUUCUUUAUGGUUCUUUAUCCAUUUAUCUGUUGAUGCGCACUGAUGUUUUUUCCAUAUCUUGUACAUAGGGCACAGAACAUGGGGAUGCAGAUAUCUUUUCAAGACAUAUUUGUUUGUAACCAUCCAGACAGUAUUCUAAAGAUGUAAAUAUAUGAUCAUGUGUGUGUUUAUGCAUUGUAUAUGAUAAAAAUGAACUUAUUUAAUAUACUGUUUUAUAACUUACUUUUUAUUGUAACAUUAUUAUUAGAAUAUUUCCACAUCAGACUAUAGAUAUACAGAUAGAUGGAUCCAGUUACUAUCAGUAUAAAUACAUGUAUUUAUCCAGUGAAUAUAAAUCUCAUCCUUCAUAAGAUGUACAGUAUUCCAUUAUAUAGAUGCUACACUUUUUAAAUCAAUUCUCUUUUAUUGGUCAUUGGCUUGCUUACAGCUUUUCACAUGUUUUCCAUGUUUUAAUAUAAAACUUUUUUGUUUUAUUAUAAAACAUGUGCAAUGAACAUAAUAUUCUGGAAACAACACAGUAGAGGCAUUGCAGAAAUUAUUUCUUUAGGUGAUUUGUUAAUAUAGAAUUAUUAGGUUAAUGAACAACCAUAGGAGGUAGUAUAUUUUCCACUACUCAAGAUAUUGAUGUAAGAUUGAAUGUCUAUUUUGUAGGGGCACAGUAGAGAAGAAAUCAACAUUAGAUCAGAAGAGAAGUAGAGGUUCUAAAAUUCUUUCUAAUUUUGAUAAUUCUGUGAUUCUCUGAGUGCUAAGGACAGACUCAACCUUUUGCUUCUCUCUGUAACACACUUGGGAGAAGAAACUAUGAAUUAUUUAUAUUAUAUAUCCAGUUUAUAUUAGUCUCAUGUCCAUGGAUGUAAAAUUGUUCUGAGAUUCUGUAUCUCUAAGAUACAUUUAAUGGUGUCAUAAAGUCCAUGAUCUUCACACAUUGGGGGAAUAUGUCUUCAUCUCAGUUCUACCUAAAAGUGAUUUUCCUGACAAGGGGAAGGGAUUUAAAUUCCCACCCCACUUCCUCAGCAUGGGAGAAUACAGACUCAAUGAGAAACCUGAGAUCCAUAGAACAUAACAAAAAGAGAAAGGAAACAUUAUGCAGAAUAGGAGGGAACUCUGUUUCUUGCUAGAGAUCAUGGGAACUAUGCUUUAAAAAAAUCUGAACUUGGAGCAGUUGUGGAUAGUACCCAUAAUUACCUGACAUUGAUAUUAAAUGCCCUGAGCAAACAUACCAGAGUAGACCAGGGUAGGACAAGAAGAGCAUGGAACACAAAGGAGAAGAUCAGCAGAACCUGCGCAGUGAAAGAAAAAGAGAUAAUAUGCUGGACCAGGAAAAAAGAAAUCUAUUAAACAUAAUACCUUAGCAGAUUAAUUGAAAUUAAUAUAAAAAAACUACACUUAGAGUAUAUAGUGAGCUGGAAUUACAUAUAAGUUAACUGCUUAAUAGUGUGUAUAUCCUUAUCCAUACUGCAAUCAUUUUCAAUUCAAAUCUCUGCUGAAUUUUAGAUAAAAUAUAGGCAAAAUGCCCUCCAACUGGUGUUAUGAAUAUAUAUGUGGACUUUAAGAAGACCUCACAUGAAUCAUAUUCAUAAUUCUUAUGUCCAGCAUGGGUUAGGAAAGAAAGUAACACAGUUCAGGUGGCUACCCUAACACAACCUAAUCAGGAUUGGAUAUAUAUACAUCACAGAAUGGUGAUGCUAUCCUAUUUGCAAUUUCAUGUCAUCAUCACUAAAUUAUUAUGGUAUCUAUAAAAGUAGUACAUAUAAAUACAUAGAUAUUUUAUUCAUAAUGCCUGGCAUGUAACAUUACAUGCUAAAUGUAAUUCCUCUGAAUGCAUCCCUGAGGCAGAAGAACAGUGAGACAAAGAGACAGCAAUAUUCUAGGUUAAAAGAAUGGCAAAGUAGAGUGGAGGAUAAAAGCAGAAUUAAAGAGAUCAAGGGAGAUAAGCAAUUCCACAUAUCUUGAAGAGAAGGAAAAUAGAUUUAAGUCCAAGUCCUCCAAAGCAGAUCUAGGCAUUCUAGUCCUGCAUGGUGUUAAUAUGAUUGAUUCACAAAAAAAGGCUCCUUGGUCAAAGAAUUUUGGACAGGGAUGCUUGAGUGGUUCAGUUGGUUAAGUGUCUGCCUUCAGCUCAGGUCAUGAUCCAAGGGUGCUGGGAUCAAGUGUGGCAUCCGGCUCCUUGCUCCUCUCCCUGCUUGUUUUCCCUCUCACUCUCUCUCUCCAUCAAAUAAAUAAAUAAAUAAAAUCUUAAAAAAUAAUUUUGGACAGCAACACACUAUAUCUGCUUUUUGCAGAUUCAACAUACACACAAGCAUAUUAAAUAAAGGCUCUUAGAAGUCUUAUGUAACUUGGUAUUUAUCAAAGUUAAAUAAAUGUACUAAAUAAAACUGUAACAAUAUUUAUCAAAGUUAUUUGAUAUUAGAUUUUCAUAUAGCUCAUUUUUAAAAAAUCUGUAGUGAUCCAUUGGUAAAUUCUUUUUCAACUAGAGUCUAAGACACAUAUCAGUGCAAAUGCUGUUUCACAUAAUUCAGCAACAAAAUUUGAAAAAGUGUGGGUUUUGUACUCAGACCUGAGUUCAAAUUCUGAUUCCACCCAUUCUUAUAUACAUGACUCUGUACAAGUUUGCUCAGUAUGCCCCUCAGAGGGUGGUUAAAUGGGAAACACCUUUGCAAGAAUCAUUAAGUAUAUUUGAUAAUUUUACAGUAUUCAAAUUUCGAUAAAUAGGAACUACAAAAAAAUUUGGACUGAAUGAUGAUUGUAUGGAUGGAGAACUUGAUAAACCUUUAGAAAUCUUACACAUGGAAGGGUUUUGAAUGAAAUAAUGAUGCAUUCAUAUUUAAAUGUUUUUUUACUAUCCAAAGAUAUUAAAGAUGCUUGCAAGAGAGCAAUUGAGUUAAUGCUCCACAUUAGUGGCUCUCAAAUUUUAAGUGUAUUAGAAUCAUCUAGAGGGUUUUGUAAAACACAGGUUGCCCAGACUUCACUAUUAGAGUUUCUGACUUAGCGGUUAUGGAGAGGGAUCCAAGGAAAUUGUGUUUCUUUCCAUUUCCAAAGAGAUCCUGAUGCUAAUGCUUGUGAGGCUGGUUUGUAGACCACACUUUGUGUAUCACUGCUCUGUGUAACAUGGACUUUUGGUGAAGGAUGAGGCCAGCUGUGGUUGGAUAUACUUGAAGAAAAAGUAGUGAGGUUUCUAGGUACAAAACCAGAUGGAAGUGUAAGUUUAGUAGGAAAUAGGUCAUCUCAAGGGCAGGAGGUUUGUUACAGAGAAUGUAUUACAGUAAUCUAAGAUUUUAGAAUUGGAUGCUAUUCCACAUUUGACCAAAAAAAAAAAAAAAUUACCUUAGAUGAUCACUACAUUUGAGAGGGCCAAAAAAUUGUAAUAGUAGAGCAACUGGAUAAGUCUCCCAAGUAGCAAUUUCCUAAUGGUAAGAUUGGGGCAGAGACAAAAGCAAUGAAUCAAAUGUAAAAACCCCACACAAAAGAUUAGGAGUGAUCAGUAAGAUUAUCAUGACAAGGAAAGAAACAGGACAGCCAGACAAAUGGGUGAACCAAAAGAGGAGGAGAAUUUCAAGUAGAAUGUUAAUGCUACUUCAUGAUACUUGACAUCUGGCAACUGAAAGAGGGAGCAGGGAUGCCUGGGUGGUUCAGUCAGUUGGGCAUCUGCCUUUGGCUCAGGUCAUGAUUCCAGGGUCCUGGGAUCCAGCCCCUCAUUGGGCUCCUUGCUCAUGGGGGAAGCUGCUUCUCCCUCUGCCUGUCAUGCCCCCAGUUUGUGUGCUCUCUCUCUCUCUCUCUCUCUGACAAAUAAAUAAAUAAAAUCUUAAAAAAAAAAAAGGAAACGGAAGAAGGAGCAGCUUCUCCUGCUAAAGGUUAUAAGGGUAGCAGUAUUUUCUAGGAACCAUUUCAAAUAAGGUAAAAGAAAGGGAGGGUGCAUGAAGAGUGUUCUUUGAAUAGCACUGGUGGACAAUCAGUUUGCAAAUAAAAUUCCAGUUCCAUAGGGCACAGUGGAAAGAUCUGGGAAAUAUAGCCACAGUGCUUAAGAAAACAAACAUAUGAAGAGACUUUAUUUUGAUAGGGUCAGUGGGGCAAGGCAAAGUGGCCAAAGAUAAUAGAAAUAAAAGACAAAAUUAACUGAUCUCAAGUUUCUGAAUUGAACUUUGGCAUAAUACUCGCUCUUGUGUGGCAGCUGAUAUACGUGUCCAGCCUUACACUGUUUCCCUCUGUGAAGCAGGACUGCUUACACUAGGGAUGGCCCAUUAUUACUUAAGGGGAUUAAGAAAUGAAGUGCCUUUGGUUGCGGGAAGAAAAAGCAAACGAGAGAGUAGUCAUAAAGUCUAGAAAUAAAGGUAAUAUUUUUGUUUGCAGAUUAGAACCUGCUUACUUUCUUCUUGAAUGCUAUAGGUACAGAUAUAUUCAGUGAAAAACAGCAACACAAAUCACCUGAGGCAGUGAUCACAAAUGCAUAUGUAGGGAUAGAUUUAAAUGCUGCAUUAAUGCUCUAUGUUCAUUGCAACUCUGAUUAAAUUAUCAUUACAACAGAGGAAGAACACCCAGAACAUAUGAAAUGUCAUUGAACAUAUCAUGUUUUGUUGUGUAGACUGAUAAACUACUUAUUACAUAUUUAUGUGUAUGUUUCUAGACAUUGUAGCCUCCUUGAAUAAUCAGAAGGUAGAGACUCAGCCUUGGCCAUUUCUCAAGUCACCUUCAAAGGUCACUUAAACAAUAUGAACUAAAUGAACUUCAUUCAUUCAAUUAAUUCAGUAAAUAUUUAUUAAAUAAUCAAUGGUGAAUAUAUAAAUAUUUAUUAAAUAAAUGUGUUGAAUACUUACAAUGUCAAACAGGAGCAUUAAGAAUAAAUAUUCCCUAAUAGGUUAAUUCUGGAGAUUAAAUAUGUGGAAGCAACUUAUGAAUUGUGAAGUCUUGAAUGACUAGUAGAAACUUUCUGAAAAUUAUUUUAAAUGUUAACAAAUGGAUAAUCCUUUUGUCCUAAUAUGAGGGAGAAAGUCACAUAUAACAUAUGUUAAGAAUAUAAGGAAAGCCAUGUUGUUGGUCUGAAGAAUGUUUAAUUAUACUGAAGUUGAUAUAUAGUUUUGGUAUAUUUAGUCAACAUUUCAUAACAACUCAUUUUGAAGAAAUUUGGCAGCCUGCUUUGAACAGUUGUUGUAUUUUUAAUAUCUAACUAUGGGAUUUAAAACAUGCUUAGUGUAAUUACUAAAUGUUAUUUAUUUUAUUCUGUCAAAGCUUUAAUUUUUAAUGUUUAUCAUGUAUGCCUCCCUUAAUUUUCUGGAUGACUUUGUAUGUAGAUAACAAUUUGGAACAUAGUGUAAAUUUAACUAAAUCAAGUUGAAGUUUAUAUUAAAAGCAGAUUUUUCUACCAAA